GAUUGCUCUGAGCAGCAGCUGCAUGCGGCUAAGCUCUGUUUUGUGUGAUGAGGGGCAGCAUUAACCAGCAGCUGGUAUGGAAGGGACCGGAUCUGUGUGUGCAAUGGAAGUAGGGCUCCUCUUUGUGAAAAAGGGAGGUCUGGGUUGUUUGAAGACUGGACAGGGUCAAGUGAGCAAGCAGGUAGAAACUACUCCAAGUGGAAAGCAUCCUGUCAUCUAGAAGGGACUGCAAAGUGCACUAAAAUAACAGGCUUGGAUAGAUGAAGCUCUUGUGUAACUGAGAGAGCACUUUGUGCCAAUUUCCAGUUUGAAUACAGAUUAGUCACUUGUGCAGAGCCUUUAAUGAAGUCCUGGUCCUGUAGGGAAUUUGGGAGGCAUGCUGCAUGCGAUUUCUGCUACCUCUGCUGGAACUGCAACAAAGAUGUCAGGGUCUUUGUGGA